AAGACAUGUACCCUUGUCUGUUUUUCAAACAAGGAUGGCUUUCAAAGUUUUAAUUUCACUCUUCAUGUUGUGGGCUAUAAGUGCUAGUAUUCCAUUUGUGGUUGAAGCAAGGAAUGUAGCUUUUGUACAUUGUAAUAAUGAUGAAGAUUGUUUGAACAUUUGCAAGGUGGUAUGGAGACCAUUCUGUUACAAUAGGCUGUGCAUAUGCAACCGGGACUUGUUCUGCUUCAAAGAUAAGGAUUGUGAUCAUUUACUACCAAGUUGUCCUUUGCAUAAGAGAUGCUACUUAAAUAUUUGUAAUUGUGGAUGAUAAAAUAGCACUUCCAUAAUGAAUGUGUUAAAACAUGUAUGGGGUCUAAUCUUGAUUUUGAAAAUAAAUGUUAUUUUAAUAUUACCGGUCGCUUGAAUAAUCUCGA